UCCAAUGCUCAUAGUCAUGUGUUCAUGGACAAGGCAGUUUCCAUCUCCCAGCUCUGCUUCCUUAACAGUGAAGUGGAGACAGCCAUGUUUAUUCUUCCUACACAGUUUCUUCCUUAGUACUCCAAGUGGACUAACAAAGACUUCCCCAAAAUGUGUGUGACUUCUACAACUACUUAAAAAGCAUCCAGCCAGGCACAGUGGCUCAUGUCUGUAAUCCCAGCACUUCAGGAGGCCAAGGUGGGCGGAUCACGAGGU
rnacentral:lncRNA from 1 species